rnacentral:pre_miRNA from 7 species
UAUUGAAGGGUCUCAGCGUUAGGAAGGCCGACAAUCACUAUGUCUUCCUUGCUAAUGAAAGAACCUAGUGGGGAAACCCCCACUCAACUCCUGAUUCGGCGUGCACCCAAGAAUCACGAACAGACAG